rnacentral:tRNA from 1 species
AAGGAUUUAAGUUAAAACUAAACUAAUAACCUUCAAAGUUAUCAAUGGAUCAGCCUCUAAGCCUUA